AGGUGGUAUUGCCGUCUAUCAACAGGGUCCAGAAUCCAUCGACCAUCUCUUCUCUAGCUAUGGCCUCUUUUGUAGCAUUUAGAAAUUAUUUUGCUCUGUUCUCUAUGUCCUUUACCUAUAAUCUUCCUUCAAAUUCCUUUGCUUGGAUUGCAUAGAUAGAAACUUCUUAAAGAAAAUUCAACCCAUUGUCUUGAUGCUGCUAGUGGGUGUGGUGACGUUAGAAGGAACAC
rnacentral:lncRNA from 1 species